rnacentral:rRNA from 1 species
UACGUAGGUGGCUAGCGUUGUCCGGAUUUACUGGGCGUAAAGCGCGUGUAGGUGGUUCGGUAAGUGAGCGAUUAAAGACCGGUGCUCAACACCGGGAAUGUUGCUUAUACUGUCGGACUUGAAGAUGGCAGGGGCAAGCGGAACUUUGAGUGUAGGAGUGAAAUCCGUAGAUAUUCAAAGGAACACCAAUGGCGAAGGCAGCUUGCUGGGCCUUUCUUGACACUGAGACGCGAAAGCGUGGGGAGCAAACGGG